UACGUAGGGUGCGAGCGUUGUCCGGAAUUACUGGGCGUAAAGAGCUCGUAGGUGGUUUGUCGCGUUGUUCGUGAAAACCGGGGGCUUAACCCUCGGCGUGCGGGCGAUACGGGCAGACUUGAGUACUGCAGGGGAGACUGGAAUUCCUGGUGUAGCGGUGGAAUGCGCAGAUAUCAGGAAGAACACCCGUGGCGAAGGCGGCUCUCUGGAACGCAACUGACGCUGAGACGCGAAAGCGUGGGGAGCAAACAGG
rnacentral:rRNA from 1 species